UAGAAACCCCUUCCUUAAGUGAGUUCCAAGACUAAAAAAAGAAUUCCUUAAAGCCGAUGGAUCAGACAGAAAGUUCAUCUUCAGAGUUGAUAAUUAUCAGGCUGUCUUUAUCGUUUUCAUUUGAAAUUUCUUUGAUUGUUAAGAUAUUGUUUCAUUUUUAGUUUAUUGUUUCUAAAUGGUAAUAUUAAUGAAAUAAGCAUGCUUGUUUUGAAUCAAUUCAUUCGUAUUCACUCUACAUAUAUUCAUU
rnacentral:lncRNA from 1 species